AUGUGCCUACGUAGUAAUGGUGGGAGGUUUCAGCUUCCAGAUGGUAUUGGAAAGCUGAGAUUAAUGGAAGUGUUGAAUAAGAUCAAAGUUGGCUCUGUAAGCAUUGUGCAAGAGUUGGGCGACAUGCACACACUGAGGGAGCUCAAUAUUCAAUUUGAGAGCUUGGAGCUGGUGCAAGCUUUCGUGGAAUCACUAAGGAAAAUGCCAAAGAUCCAGUGUGUAGAAAUUAGUGCCAAGUGUGAGCGUGAUGUUUCAAUGGAUCUCCCCGGGGAAUGUUGGGUGCUCCCUGCAAGUCUCCGGGAGUUUAUCAUGCACAAAGGCAUCAGAUUAUCUACCUUACCGGCAUGGAAUCCCUAUCAUCUGUCACAACUCUCCAAGAUAGUCAUAAGUGUAGGGGUUGUGCGACAGGAGGAUCUGAGAUUCCUUGAAAAGUUUCCAGCUCUUCGGAAUCUCGUGUUAGCGAGCGACAACCAAAGGCCACUAGUCGUUGGCGCCGAGGGGUUCCGUUGUUUGGAAAAUUUCUUCUUGGUUUCCAAGUCACCGAGCCAAAUAUUGUUCCAGCCAGGAGCUUUGCCCAAGGCCGAACUAGUUGUGCUCUAUAUGAGUUUGCUAGCCGCAAAAGAGGAAACACUUGGCAACGGUGGCGAUUGGUUUGACGUUGGCAUGGAGAACCUGCCGGCCCUUCAGAAGGUCAUUGUCGAUUUCCACCGUUCGGGAGUGACAGUCGGGGAGGCCAAGCAAGCGAAGGCUGCGCUGGAGAAGGCCCUCCGCGCCCAUCCUAAGCGUCCCACCCAUCGCAUCGACUUCGACGAGUACAUACCAGAAGAUGCUCGUGAUGAGGAUAUCUACACCAAGGGCGUUGACAGCAGCGAGGAUGAAGAGUCGGAGUGA
rnacentral:rRNA from 1 species